rnacentral:rRNA from 1 species
GGAUUAGAUACCCUGGUAGUCCACGCCGUAAACGAUGUCAACUAGUUGUUGGGUAUAUAGAGAUACUUAGUGACGCAGCUAACGCGAUAAGUUGACCGCCUGGGGAGUACGGUCGCAAGAUUAAAACUCAAAGGAAUUGACGGGGGCCCGCACAAGCGGUGGAGCAUGUGGUUUAAUUCGAUGCAACGCGAAGAACCUUACCUACCCUUGACAUACAGUAAAUCUUUUGGAGACAGAAGAGUGCCUUCGGGAAUACUGAUACAGGUGCUGCAUGGCUGUCGUCAGCUCGUGCUG